rnacentral:rRNA from 1 species
GAUGAACGCUGGCGGCGUGCCUAAUACAUGCCAGUCGAGCGAACGGACGAGAAGCUUGCUUCUCUGAUGUUAGCGGCGGACGGGUGAGUAACACGUGGAUAACCUACCUAUAAGACUGGGAUAACUUCGGGAAACCGGAGCUAAUACCGGAUGAUAUUUUGAACCGCAUGGUUCAAAAGUGAAAGACGGUCUUGCUGUCACUUAUAGAUGGAUCCGCGCUGCAUUAGCUAGUUGGUAAGGUAACGGCUUGCCAAGGCAACGAUGCAUAGCCGACCUGAGAGGGUGAUCGGCCACACUGGAACUGAGACACGGUCCAGACUCCUACGGGAGGCAGCAGUAGGGAAUCUUCCACAAUGGGCGAAAGCCUGACGGAGCAACGCCGCGUGAGUGAUGAAGGUCUUCGGAUCGUAAAACUCUGUUAUUAGGGAAGAACAUAUGUGUAAGUAACUGUGCACAUCUUGACGGUACCUAAUCAGAAAGCCACGGCUAACUACGUG